rnacentral:rRNA from 1 species
GACGAACGCUGGCGGCGUGCUUAACACAUGCAAGUCGAACGGAAAGGCCCUGCUUUUGUGGGGUGCUCGAGUGGCGAACGGGUGAGUAACACGUGAGUAACCUGCCCUUGACUUUGGGAUAACUUCAGGAAACUGGGGCUAAUACCGGAUAGGAGCUCCUGCUGCAUGGUGGGGGUUGGAAAGUUUCGGCGGUUGGGGAUGGACUCGCGGCUUAUCAGCUUGCUGGUGGGGUAGUGGCUUACCAAGGCUUUGACGGGUAGCCGGCCUGAGAGGGUGACCGGCCACAUUGGGACUGAGAUACGGCCCAGACUCCUACGGGAGGCAGCAGUGGGGAAUAUUGCACAAUGGGCGGAAGCCUGAUGCAGCAACGCCGCGUGCGGGAUGACGGCCUUCGGGUUGUAAACCGCUUUCGCCUGUGACGAAGCGUGAGUGACGGUAAUGGGUAAAGAAGCACCGGCUAACUACGUGCCAGCAGCCGCGGUGAUACGUAGGGUGCGAGCGUUGUCCGGAUUUAUUGGGCGUAAAGGGCUCGUAGGUGGUUGAUCGCGUCGGAAGUGUAAUCUUGGGGCUUAACCCUGAGCGUGCUUUCGAUACGGGUUGACUUGAGGAAGGUAGGGGAGAAUGGAAUUCCUGGUGGAGCGGUGGAAUGCGCAGAUAUCAGGAGGAACACCAGUGGCGAAGGCGGUUCUCUGGGCCUUUCCUGACGCUGAGGAGCGAAAGCGUGGGGAGCGAACAGGCUUAGAUACCCUGGUAGUCCACGCUGUAAACGGUGGGUACUAGGUGUGGGGUCCAUUCCACGGGUUCCGUGCCGUAGCUAACGCUUUAAGUACCCCGCCUGGGGAGUACGGCCGCAAGGCUAAAACUCAAAGGAAUUGACGGGGCCCCGCACAAGCGGCGGAGCAUGCGGAUUAAUUCGAUGCAACGCGUAGAACCUUACCUGGGUUUGACAUGGAUCGGGAGCGCUCAGAGAUGGGUGUGCCUCUUUUGGGGUCGGUUCACAGGUGGUGCAUGGCUGUCGUCAGCUCGUGUCGUGAGAUGUUGGGUUAAGUCCCGCAACGAGCGCAACCCUUGUUCACUGUUGCCAGCACGUUAUGGUGGGGACUCAGUGGAGACCGCCGGGGUCAACUCGGAGGAAGGUGGGGAUGACGUCAAGUCAUCAUGCCCCUUAUGUCCAGGGCUUCACGCAUGCUACAAUGGCUGGUACAGAGAGUGGCGAGCCUGUGAGGGUGAGCGAAUCUCGGAAAGCCGGUCUCAGUUCGGAUUGGGGUCUGCAACUCGACCUCAUGAAGUCGGAGUCGCUAGUAAUCGCAGAUCAGCAACGCUGCGGUGAAUACGUUCCCGGG